GCCGGCGACCAUACCACGUUGAAAGCACCGGUUCUCGUCCGAUCACCGCAGUUAAGCAACGUUGGGCCCGGUCAGUACUUGCAUGGGUGACCGGCUGGGAAUACCGGGUGUCGCCGGCU
rfam:Schistosoma mansoni, Puerto Rico, WGS project CABG01000000 data, contig: 0387